AACGAACGCUGGCGGCAUGCCUAACACAUGCAAGUCGAACGAGCCCUUCGGGUCUAGUGGCGCACGGGUGCGUAACGCGUGGGAAUCUGCCCUUGGGUUCGGAAUAACAGUUAGAAAUGACUGCUAAUACCGGAUGAUGACUUCGGUCCAAAGAUUUAUCGCCCAGGGAUGAGCCCGCGUAGGAUUAGCUUGUUGGUGAGGUAAUAGCUCACCAAGGAGACGAUCCUUAGCUGGUCUGAGAGGAUGAUCAGCCACACUGGGACUGAGACACGGCCCAGACUCCUACGGGAGGCAGCAGUGGGGAAUAUUGGACAAUGGGCGAAAGCCUGAUCCAGCAAUGCCGCGUGAGUGAUGAAGGCCUUAGGGUUGUAAAGCUCUUUUACCCGGGAUGAUAAUGACAGUACCGGGAGAAUAAGCCCCGGCUAACUCCGUGCCAGCCGCCGCGGUAAUAC
rnacentral:rRNA from 1 species